GAAUCUGCUUUGUUAAGACCAAAGUUCAUUAGGUUCCACGUCUUGUCUCUUCUUCUUCCUCCAUAGUUAUUUCAGCCAUGGCGUCUGGUAGUACAGCUCCAACACCCCCCCUAAAGUUGGAGGGAGGUGUAACCACACCCAACCUGGUGAUAAUGGAGCUGUGUGCCGGUCCAGUGAGUGGUUUAGUGAAGAUGUCGGCGAUUUGAGCUCGAGAAGGAAUAUACAAAAGAGAGAUGAUGUCGGCCAGAAACUAUUGCCGAACAAAAUCGCAAUCCAACUCCACAUGUUUAGUUCUCUCGUGAAAGACUGGGUUUUUCGCGAUGUGAAUGGCUGCCUGACUGUCGGAGAGUAGAUCAACAAGAAUGGGAGCAAAAAUGGAAAGAUCGGAGAGCAAGCGGAUAAGCCAGGAGACAGGAGAACCCCCAAAGCUGAUAAAGAAACCGCUGAUAGAUUUGCGAGUUUGUGGACAAGAUCCCCAAUCCGAGUCACAGAAAGCAAGGAGCUGAUAAUCAGGCCUGGAAUUCAGAAAAAGCCCCAAAACUUGGGUCCUUGAGGAGAUAGCGGAGACAAUGAAAAGCAGCAUCUAGAUGAGGUUGACGAGGUGUUUGCAUGAAUUGGCUGAGGUGCUGCACUGCAAAAAACAAGUCUGGUCAGGUAUGGGUUAGGAAAUUAAGUUUUCCUAACAAUCGACGAUAAAAGGUGGGAUCUUGGAUGGGAACCCCGAUGUUUGCUCUCAAUUUCUGGGUGAGAUCCAAAGGAGAAGAAGCUGCUCUCAUGCUCAAGCAAUUGAAUUCAGACAAAAGAUCUAAGAUAAAGCUACGAGUAUAGAUCAUCUCCAGCCUUGGAAUCCUCUUCCAUCAAAAGCUGAGUUGACAAGAGACAUUCCUGGCGUGUUAGAAAAAUGGAGAAAAUAGGCAUGGUUUGAAUCGAUGGUGCUGUUUCCUGCAUUGGUGGUUUUUUCUACUAUUGUUUGAGUGUUAUCACCCAUGAUCUAGGAUUGAUGUGAUGAUGAAGAAUGAAGAUGAAAGUGAUUUGAAGGAUCGAGCAUUCACUGCUCAGUAGGAAUAUUUAGGAGAAGAAGACUGAUAAAGAAUUUUUUGUGUAUUUCAUUUGCUUCCUUUACAUGUAUAUAUACAAAAUAAAAGAAUCAAAAUUUGUUACUCUACUUUA